rnacentral:rRNA from 1 species
GACGAACGCUGGCGGCGUGCUUAACACAUGCAAGUCGAACGGAAAGGCCCUGCUUUUGUGGGGUGCUCGAGUGGCGAACGGGUGAGUAACACGUGAGUAACCUGCCCUUGACUUUGGGAUAACUUCAGGAAACUGGGGCUAAUACCGGAUAGGAGCUCCUGCUGCAUGGGGGGGGUGGGAAAGUUUCGGCGGUUGGGGAUGGACUCGGGGCUUAUCAGCUUGUUGGUGGGGUAGUGGCUUACCAAGGCUUUGACGGGUAGCCGGCCUGAGAGGGUGACCGGCCACAUUGGGACUGGGAUACGGCCCAGACUCCUACGGGAGGCAGCAGUGGGGAAUAUUGCACAAUGGGCGGAAGCCUGAUGCAGCAACGCCGCGUGCGGGAUGACGGCCUUCGGGUUGUAAACCGCUUUCGCCUGUGACGAAGCGUGAGUGACGGUAAUGGGUAAAGAAGCACCGGCUAACUACGUG